rnacentral:lncRNA from 1 species
CUGGGCCAUCUUUAGAACCCAGCAGGGCAGACCUGGGCCAGUUACUGUGUCUGCAUCGUUGUGUGCAUGAGAAACUAACAAGGGCUCACACAUACCAUAAGAAAGUAGCUAUGACAACAUUACCAAGCAUAGAGUCUAAAUAUAGAUCUUUUUUACUGAGAUAAAACGUCACAGUAAAGGCUUAUUCAUGCCCCCUGCUGGUAGUGAUGAUGAAUUACGUUAGGUUUCUCUUAUCUUAUCUCACAAGCAAAACAUUCCUUUAAAGACGAAUAGAAAAGAGAUUUACAUUGAUAAACAAAGCAAUAUAGAUAAACUAGUCAGCGUACUGUAUUUGAAAAGCAGUUGAGGAAGGUUUAACUCCUAGCUGGAGACAGACACCACUCCUUUCAGUUGAGGAAGGUUUAACUCCUAGCCUCAGACAGACACCACUCCUUUCAGUUGAGGAAGGUUUAACUCCUAGCCUCAGACAGACACCACUCCUUUCAGUUGAGGAAGGUUUAACUCCUAGCCUCAGACAGACACCACUCCUUUCAGUUGAGGAAGGUUUAACUCCUAGCUGGAGACAGACACCACUCCUUUCAGUUGAGGAAGGUUUAACUCCUAGCCUCAGACAGACACCACUCCUUUCAGUUGAGGAAGGUUUAACUCCUAGCUGGAGACAGACACCACUCCUUUCAGUUGAGGAAGGUUUAACUCCUAGCCUCAGACAGACACCACUCCUUUCAAUUGAGGAAGGUUUAACUCCUAGCCUCAGACAGACACCACUCCUUUCAGUUGAGGUAGGCUUAACUCCUAGCCUCAGACAGACACCACUCCUUUCAGUUGAGGAAGGUUUAACUCCUAGCCUCAGACAGACACCACUCCUUUCAGUUGAGGAAGGUUUAACUCCUAGCUGGAGACAGACACCACUCCUUUCAGUUGAGAAAGGUUUAACUCCUAGCUGGAGACAGACACCACUCCUUUCAGUUGAGGAAGGUUUAACUCCUAGCCUCAGACAGACACCACUCCUUUCAGUUGAGGAAGGUUUAACUCCUAGCUGGAGACAGACACCACUCCUUUCAGCUGAGGAAGGUUUAACUCCUAGCCUCAGACAGACACCACUCCUUUCAGUUGAGGAAGGUUUAACUCCUAGCUGGAGACAGACACCACUCCUUUCAGUUGAGGAAGGUUUAACUCCUAGCCUCAGACAGACACCACUCCUUUCAGUUGAGGAAGGUUUAACUCCUAGCCUCAGACAGACACCAGUCCUUUCAGUUGAGGAAGGUUUAACUCCUAGCCUCAGACAGACACCACUCCUUUCAGUUGAGGAAGGUUUAACUCCUAGCUGGAGACAGACACCACUCCUUUCAGUUGAGGAAGGUUUAACUCCUAGCUGGAGACAGACACCACUCCUUUCAGUUGAGGUAGGUUUAACUCCUAGCCUCAGACAGACACCACUCCUUUCAGUUGAGGAAGGUUUAACUCCUAGCUGGAGACAGACAUCACUCCUUUCUUUCCCUGUUCCAGUCAUCUCUGUCUAUAAAACAGUUUAUAGCAGUAAUAAAGAUGAAGAGGAAGGUAUUGAUCGUCUCGUCUAAUUGUUUACGGACACACAUACCCACACACCUAGAGAGUGUCAGCCCUUUAAGAUAAUGUCUUUGAUUAAGUUCCUGUAUUGCUGUAUACAGAUAGAGAAGGUCACCAUUUGACCUUUGGGUAAAUAUUAGCAUUUGAGAGUGUUAGGAUAGACAGCAUUAUACUACAGGGAUGUGUUUAGUAGGGCACACAGUACCAAAACGGUUUGCAACAGAACACAAAAAUUCUACCUGGUCGUGUUCAUUAGGACAUUUGCAACAGAAAAUGAAUGCGGGUUUCUAAUGGGUAAAGUCCAAGUAGUCCCUCCGUUUCAGAGUUUUUUCUUUUGUUUGGUGCCUAUUGAACACAACCCAGUCUCCCAUAACCUGGAGUCUCGGGAGGACAUUUACUCUAGUAUGCCGUGGCGGUUCUAGCUUGUAUGGGUCCCUGACUCAUACAUAUCACAAAGAAGUGACCAAGACAAAUAGAAACACAUUUGUGUUGAUUUGGCACUCGAGCAGCAAUACAUUACCCAUCCCCCAACACUGUCAACCAAGAGUCAAGACUACAUUACCCAUCCCCCAACACUGUCAACCAAGA